GAUGAACGCUGGCGGCGUGCCUAAUACAUGCCAGUCGAGCGAACAGACGAGGAGCUUGCUCCUCUGACGUUAGCGGCGGACGGGUGAGUAACACGUGGAUAACCUACCUAUAAGACUGGGAUAACUUCGGGAAACCGGAGCUAAUACUGGAUAAUAUAUUGAACCGCAUGGUUCAAUAGUGAAAGACGGUUUUGCUGUCACUUAUAGAUGGAUCCGCGCCGCAUUAGCUAGUUGGUAAGGUAACGGCUUACCAAGGCAACGAUGCGUAGCCGACCUGAGAGGGUGAUCGGCCACACUGGAACUGAGACACGGUCCAGACUCCUACGGGAGGCAGCAGUAGGGAAUCUUGCGCAAUGGGCGAAAGCUUGACGGAGCAACGCCGCGUGAGUGAUGAAGGUCUUCGGAUCGUAAAACUCUGUUAUUAGGGAAGAACAAAUGUGUAAGUAACUAUGCACGUCUUGACGGUACCUAAUCAGAAAGCCACGGCUAACUACGUG
rnacentral:rRNA from 1 species